AAACUCGACGAUGAAGAAUUGGUCGCCUACAUGCUCCAAGGUCUUGGCUCAGAGUAUGAUUCUCUGGUCACGAGCAUCACAACGCGCACCGACAUCUACACCAUCAGCGAUGUGUAUGCACACAUGCUGAGCUCUGAGA
rnacentral:snoRNA from 1 species